UACGAAGGGGGCUAGCGUUGUUCGGAAUCACUGGGCGUAAAGCGCACGUAGGCGGAUUUUUAAGUCAGAGGUGAAAUGCCAGGGCUCAACCUUGGAACUGCCUUUGAUACUGGGGAUCUGGAGUCCGGGAGAGGUGAGUGGAACUGCGAGUGUAGAGGUGAAAUUCGUAGAUAUUCGGCAAGAACACCAGUGGCGAAGGCGGCUCACUGGCCCGGUACUGACGCUGAGGCACGAAAGCGUGGGGAGCAAACAGG
rnacentral:rRNA from 1 species